AUUGAACGCUGGCGGCAGGCCUAACACAUGCAAGUCGAGCGGAGCGGCGGACGGGGGAGUAAUACCUAGGAAUCUGCCUGGUAGUGGGGGAUAACGUUCGGAAACGGACGCUAAUACCGCAUACUAUCAGAUUACCCUAGGUCGGAUUUGCUAGUUGGUGUGGUAAUGGCUCACCAAGGCUACGAUCCGUAACUGGUCUGAGAGGAUGAUCAGUCACACUGACACUGAGACACGGUCCAGACUCCUACGGGAUGCAGCAGUGGGGAAUAUUGGCCAAUGGGCGAUAGCCUGAUCCAGCCACGCCGCGUGGGUGAAGAAGGUCUUCGGGUUGUAAAGCACUUGAAGUCGGGAGCCGUUACCGACUGAAUAAGCACCGGCUAACUCUGUGCCAGCAGCCGCGGUAAUUC
rnacentral:rRNA from 1 species